rnacentral:rRNA from 1 species
CCUACGGGAGGCAGCAGUGAGGAAUAUUGGUCAAUGGGCGAGAGCCUGAACCAGCCAAGUCGCGUGAGGGAGUACUGCCCUAUGGGUUGUAAACCUCUUUUGUCGGGGAGCAAAAGCAGGACGUGUCCGGCUGUGAGGGUACCCGAAGAAAAAGCAUCGGCUAACUCCGUGCCAGCAGCCGCGGUAAUACGGAGGAUGCGAGCGUUAUCCGGAUUUAUUGGGUUUUAAGGGUGCGCAGGCGGAUUUUUAAGUCAGCGGUAAAAUCGUGGGGCUCAACCCCAUCCAGCCGUUGAAACUGGGGAUCUAGAGUGUGCGAGAGGUAUGCGGAAUGCGUGGUGUAGCGGUGAAAUGCAUAGAUAUCACGCAGAACCCCGAUUGCGAAGGCAGCAUACCGGUGCACAACUGACGCUCAGGCACGAAAGCGUGGGUAUCGAACAGGAUUAGAUACCCGAGUAGUC